GAUGAACGCUGGCGGCGUGCUUAACACAUGCAAGUCGAACGAUGAAGCCCACUUGUGGGUGGAUUAGUGGCGAACGGGUGAGUAACACGUGAGUAACCUGCCCUUGACUCUGGGAUAAGCCUGGGAAACUGGGUCUAAUACCGGAUAUGACCUUCCAUCGCAUGGUGGUUGGUGGAAAGCUUUUGUGGUUUUGGAUGGACUCGCGGCCUAUCAGCUUGUUGGUGGGGUAAUGGCCUACCAAGGCGACGACGGGUAGCCGGCCUGAGAGGGUGACCGGCCACACUGGGACUGAGACACGGCCCAGACUCCUACGGGAGGCAGCAGUGGGGAAUAUUGCACGAUGGGCGCAAGCCUGAUGCAGCGACGCCGCGUGAGGGAUGACGGCCUUCGGGUUGUAAACCUCUUUCAGUAGGGAAGAAGCGAGAGUGACGGUACCUGCAGAAGAAGCGCCGGCUAACUACGUGCCAGCAGCCGCGGUAAUAC
rnacentral:rRNA from 1 species